CGACGCCGCGUGAGUGAUGAAGGCCUUCGGGUUGUAAAGCUCUGUGGAGGGGGACGAAUAAGUGUCGUCGAAUAGACGGCAUGAUGACGGUACCCCUUUAGCAAGCACCGGCUAACUCUGUGCCAGCAGCCGCGGUAAGACAGAGGGUGCAAACGUUGUUCGGAAUUACUGGGCGUAAAGCGCGUGUAGGCUGCUUGGAAAGUCGGAUGUGAAAGCCCUGGGCUCAACCCAGGAAGUGCAUUCGAAACUCCCGAGCUCGAGUACCGGAGAGGAAGACGGAAUUCUCGGUGUAGAGGUGAAAUUCGUAGAUAUCGAGAGGAACACCUGUGGCGAAGGCGGUCUUCUGGACGGUUACUGACGCUGAGACGCGAAAGCGUGGGGAGCAAACAGGAUUAGAUACCCUGGUAGUCCACGCCGUAAACGAUGGGUGCUAGGUGUCGCGGGAUUUGACCCCUGCGGUGCCGUAGCUAACGCAUUAAGCACCCCGCCUGGGGAGGUACGGCCGCAAGGCUA
rnacentral:rRNA from 1 species